GCUUACGGCCAUACCACCCUGAACGGCCCGAUCUCGUCUGAUCUCGGAAGCCAAGCAGGGUCGGGCCUGGUCAGUACUUGGACGGGAGACCGCCUGGGAAUACCAGGUGCUGUAAGCU
ensembl:rRNA 5S_rRNA 5S ribosomal RNA